GUCUGCAUCCUUUGCAAGCCCUUCUCUUCUAACCCCGCCCAGACUUUCCGUGUCUGUCCAAUCACAGACUUCCCAAAGCAGCUCAAUGAGAAGUCUUUGCGUGGCAGUCUGGACAACUGCUCCUUGAGUUUAGCUACACUAAACAAACCACGAAGUAACAUGGCCGGUUAUAUGAUUGACAGCCAGUGAGUUCUAAUUUAUAAAAGUGCCAAUUUC